rnacentral:lncRNA from 1 species
AUGAAUCGAGGCUCCAGCAUCAAACUCUCUUUUCCCCAGUGGAGCCUGGUGGGAUUUACCGGAGCAGCCUGGCUCCCUCUGCGACCCUCCCUCCAGAACAGCGGCCCUGUGACUCCGGGAGGGCGCAGCUCACCAGAGAACAACACGAUGCUGAGACCCGGGUACUGUUUGUCACCGCAGCACACAGACUGGAGCGGCCCAAGAAACAGCAAAAAGACAAAAAAAAAGAAGAGGAAGAAAGUGGAGCCUCGGACCUUUGAAGGAGAGGCUCCCUCCCACCGCACAGCAAGAAGGCACUGUCUGCGAGCCUGGAAAAGGGCCCUCAGCAGAGGGCGGCCCUGCCGGCACCCUGAACGUGGACUUCCAGGCUCCAGAGCUGGGAGGAGCGACCACAGUGGUUUCAGCCGCCCCGUCGGUGGUGUUCAGCUCCAGCAGCCCAGGCUCAGACGCCACAUCACGGCAUUAGGGUGAUUCCUCUUCUCCCGAGUGUCCGGUGUCUCGUUGAAGGAGAACCGCAACCUCGAACCUUUCACCUCUUUGCCCUUCGGUGGGUGCUCUUCAUGAGCAGCCACUUCAGCAAACACACACAGGCAGACCCCCGAGCAGCCACUUCAGCAAACACACACAGGCAGACCCCCGGCGGGCGGACCUGCGCGCGUCCCCAGUCACGGUGGCACUGCCAACCUAGGUGGCGGCAGAGAGCGCCCCCAGCCCGCCGAGCG